rnacentral:rRNA from 1 species
GAUGAACGCUGGCGGCGUGCCUAAUACAUGCAAGUCGAGCGAACAGAUAAGGAGUUUGUUCCUUUUACGUUAGCGGCGGACGGGUGAGUAACACGUGGAUAACCUACCUAUAAGACUGGGAUAACUUCGGGAAACCGGAGCUAAUACCGGAUAACAUAUUGAACCGCAUGGUUCAAUAGGUAAAGGCGGCUUUGCUGUCACUUAUAGAUGGAUCCGCGCCGUAUUAGCUAGUUGGUAAGGUAACGGCUUACCAAGGCAACGAUACGUAGCCGACCUGAGAGGGUGAUCGGCCACACUGGAACUGAGACACGGUCCAGACUCCGACGGGAGGCAGCAGUAGGGAAUCUUCCGCAAUGGGCGAAAGCCUGACGGAGCAGCGCCGCGUGAGUGAUGAAGGUCUUCGGAUCGUAAAACUCUGUUAUCAGGGAAGAACAAAUGUGUAAGUAACUGUGCACAUCUUGACGGUACCUGAUCAGAAAGCCACGGCUAACUACGUG